UACGAAGGGGGGCUAGCGUUGCUCGGAAUCACUGGGCGUAAAGCGCACGUAGGCGGAUCUUUUAAGUCAGGGGUGAAAUCCCAAGGCUCAACCUUGGAACUGCCUUUGAUACUGGGGGAUCUCGAGUCCGGAAGAGGUUGGUGGAACUGCGAGUGUAGAGGUGAAAUUCGUAGAUAUUCGCAAGAACACCAGUGGCGAAGGCGGCCAACUGGUCCGGUACUGACGCUGAGGUGCGAAAGCGUGGGGAGCAAACAGGG
rnacentral:rRNA from 1 species